rnacentral:rRNA from 1 species
AGCGUAAUAGCUCACUGGUCGAGUCGGUCCGCGCGGAAGAUGUAACGGGGCUAAACGUAGAACCGAAGCUGCGGAUGCACUAUGUGCAUGGUAGAGGAGCGUUCUGUACGCCUGCGAAGGUGAGUCGAGAGGCUUGCUGGAGGUAUCAGAAGUGCGAAUGCUGACAUGAGUAACGACAAAGGGGGUGAAAAACCCCCUCGCCGGAAGACCAAGGUUUCCUG